rnacentral:rRNA from 1 species
CCUACGGGAGGCUGCAGUGGGGAAUAUUGGACAAUGGGGGCAACCCUGAUCCAGCCAUGUCGCGUGUGUGAAGAAGGCCCUCGGGUUGUAAAGCACUUUCAGUGAGGAAGAACGCCUGGUGGUUAAUACCCAUCAGGAAAGACAUCACUCACAGAAGAAGCACCGGCUAACUCCGUGCCAGCAGCCGCGGUAAUACGGAGGGUGCGAGCGUUAAUCGGAAUUACUGGGCGUAAAGCGCGCGUAGGUGGCUUGAUAAGCCGGUUGUGAAAGCCCCGGGCUCAACCUGGGAACGGCAUCCGGAACUGUCAAGCUAGAGUGCAGGAGAGGAAGGUAGAAUUCCCGGUGUAGCGGUGAAAUGCGUAGAGAUCGGGAGGAAUACCAGUGGCGAAGGCGGCCUUCUGGACUGACACUGACACUGAGGUGCGAAAGCGUGGGUAGCAAACAGGAUUAGAUACCCUGGUAGUC